rnacentral:rRNA from 1 species
GAUGAACGCUGGCGGCGUGCCUAAUACAUGCAAGUCGAGCGAACAGACGAUGAGCUUGCUCCUCUGACGUUAGCGGCGGACGGGUGAGUAACACGUGGAUAACCUACCUAUAAGACUGGGAUAACUUCGGGAAACCGGAGCUAAUACCGUAUAAUAUAUUGAACCGCAUGGUUCAAUAGUGAAAGUCGGUUUUGCUGUCACUUAUAGAUGGAUCCGCGCCGCAUUAGCUAGUUGGUAAGGUAACGGCUUACCAAGGCGACGAUGCGUAGCCGACCUGAGAGGGUGAUCGGCCACACUGGAACUGAGACACGGUCCAGACUCCUACGGGAGGCAGCAGUAGGGAAUCUUCCGCAAUGGGCGAAAGCCUGACGGAGCAACGCCGCGUGAGUGAUGAAGGUCUUCGGAUCGUAAAACUCUGUUAUUAGGGAAGAACAAAUGUGUAAGUAACUAUGCACGUCUUGACGGUACCUAAUCAGAAAGCCACGGCUAACUACGUG